AUGCAAGGAGGAAAUUGGUUUUUAAUUUUCUAUAACUUAGGGGAAAAAACCUCAAUUGUGAAAGGAGAUUCAUUUUCCAUUCAAAAGCUUAUCCAACAUAUAAAUUUCACAUCUCUAUAUACACAAAAAAUAAUAAUAUCGAUUGGUCCGAAUGAACACAUAGAAUAUAUUUUUUUACUUACCCUUAGUAUGGGAAUGGAUUAG